rnacentral:rRNA from 1 species
UAGGGAAUCUUCGGCAAUGGACGAAAGUCUGACCGAGCAACGCCGCGUGAGUGAAGAAGGUUUUCGGAUCGUAAAACUCUGUUGUUAGAGAAGAACAAGGACGUUAGUAACUGAACGUCCCCUGACGGUAUCUAACCAGAAAGCCACGGCUAACUACGUGCCAGCAGCCGCGGUAAUACGUAGGUGGCAAGCGUUGUCCGGAUUUAUUGGGCGUAAAGCGAGCGCAGGCGGUUUCUUAAGUCUGAUGUGAAAGCCCCCGGCUCAACCGGGGAGGGUCAUUGGAAACUGGGAGACUUGAGUGCAGAAGAGGAGAGGGAAUUCCAUGUGUAGCGGUGAAAUGCGUAGAUAUAUGGAGGAACACCAGUGGCGAAGGCGGCUCUCUGGUCUGUAACUGACGCUGAGGCUCGAAAGCGUGGGGAGCAAACAGG